rnacentral:rRNA from 1 species
UACGUAGGGGGCAAGCGUUGUCCGGAUUUAUUGGGCGUAAAGAGCGUGUAGGCGGCCAGACAGGUCAGCUGUGAAAACUCGAGGCUCAACCUCGAGACGUCGGUUGAAACCGUCUGGCUAGAGUCCGGAAGAGGAGAGUGGAAUUCCCGGUGUAGUGGUGAAAUGCGUAGAUAUCGGGAGGAACACCAGUGGCGAAGGCGACUUCUUGGCCUGUUCUUGACGCUGAGGCGCGAAAGCUGGGGGAGCAAACGGG